UGUACACGCUCGUUGCCGAACGACUGCCGUCGUGGCCUCGGGCCGUCGGACCCUUCGGGUGACGACGUGCUCGUGCUGCGCCGGCGUCCGUGAGGAAUGC
rnacentral:misc_RNA from 1 species